rnacentral:rRNA from 1 species
AGCAGCAGCCACGGUAAUACGAAGGGGGCUAGCGUUGUUCGGAAUUACUGGGCGUAAAGCGCACGUAGGCGGAUACUUAAGUCAGGGGUGAAAUCCCGGGGCUCAACCCCGGAACUGCCUUUGAUACUGGGUAUCUCGAGUCCGGAAGAGGUGAGUGGAAUUCCGAGUGUAGAGGUGAAAUUCGUAGAUAUUCGGAGGAACACCAGUGGCGAAGGCGGCUCACUGGUCCGGUACUGACGCUGAGGUGCGAAAGCGUGGGGAGCAAACAGGAUUAGAGACCCGGGUAGUCCCUGUCUCUUAUAC